GACGAACGCUGGCGGCGUGCCUAAUACAUGCAAGUCGAACGCAGUGGGGACGGGUGAGUAACACGUGGGUAACCUCCCAUCAGAGGGGAUAACACUUGGAAACCGGCGCUAAACCGAUACUGAUGGCUGGUCCCGCGGGGCAUUAGCUAGUUGGUGAGGUAACGGCUCACCAAGGCCCAGAAGCAUAGCCGACCAGAGAGGAUGAUCAGCCACACUGGGACUGAGACACGGCCCAGACUCCUACGGGAGGCAGCAGUAGGGAAUCUUCGGCAAUGGACGAAAGUCUGACCGAGCAACGCCGCGUGAGUGAAGAAGGUCUUCGGGUUGUAAAACUCUGUUGGUAGAGAAGCGUUAUCUAACCAGAAAGCCACGGCUAACUACGUGCCAGCAGCCGCGGUAAUAC
rnacentral:rRNA from 1 species